rnacentral:lncRNA from 1 species
UCUUCAUACUCCACAAAAAAUCACCUUGCCUUAGAGAGACAAAGACAAGAUUGUCAGAUAAAUGCAGCGAAGCAGAAACGUGUUCAACGUGCCAGGAACGUUUUAGACAUUGGGUGUUGGCAUCAAUUUUGAAUGUUGGAUUUGACAGCUCAACUGCUGCCAAUAAAUUGGCAAAUAAGCCCUACGCCGAUGAGAUAUUCUUGAUUUUUGUGAGCCGGUUGUGUGGACGAUUAAUUAUACGUGUGUAUAUAUAUAUAUAUAUAUAUAUUAUCCUGCAUGAGAUCGCGGGCUAUGACUUCGAACCACCAUUGCGGGUAUGGUCUAUGCCUGUUUGAGGCUGAACUUACCCUCUUUGAGUCAAAUAGCCAUGUCCAUUAUGUAUACUAAACUUGAUUUGACCUUAAUUUGAGUAGAAUAGUAGCAUUCUUUCAACCAUUACUCCAUAUAAAUAUACCAACUGUAAUUUGAUUCGUGUUAUUCACGUUUGUUUAUCUUUUAUAUAGAAUUUCCAAAUUUUCUAUAAAGUUACCAACCUUUAGUUAUUUUUCUUAUCGACUUGUUAGACAUUACCAACCUUAAUCAUAGUGAUUUACCAAAUUUUGUCUUAUUAGGUGACCAAGUUUUCGUUCCCUACUCUUAUUUAAAAUUCGUUGUCAAUUUUUAUUUGAUUUGAUUUAAUUAAAUUUACGAACUUCUCUUAUCUCUAUUAAUUAAAAGCUUCUCUUAUUUUUUACAAAAUCUUGUUUACCUCUCUCAUGGAAGUCUUGAAUUUUCCAAUUACUACAUUAAAUUAUUUUAAGUGAUUUACCAACUUUUCUCCAAUUAACAUACUAACAAGUUUUGGCUUUAUUCUGUGACUUUUUCCAUCACUUGAUCCAAAGACUUAUCAAAUUACGACUCAAACGACAUCCAUUUAACGUUAUCAAGUGAAAUGUUCCCUUCAUAAACCACUACACAAAAUAGCUUAGUUUUGUAGCUGUACAUAGAACUUUUUAAACGUUAAAACAAAAGGCACAUUAUAACAAGAAAUAAGUAUAUUAAAAGUCCCACAACUAGCCCUGAAAUCGCACUUGAGUCCUAAAUUUUCAGAAAAUGUAAUUAAACCCUAAAAUUUGUUAAAUUUAUGCAAUUAAAACCGUCUGAUUUUUUCUUGGGGGUGGGAAAAUUCAUAUGUUCACUCCGCCUGAUUUGAUUAACAAAACAUGUUGAAAUUGUUUUUAUUUUUAAUUUUUCCUUAAGAUAAGGGACGUUGAUGUGGCACCAUCUAAGCUCCACAUUAAGAAAAAAAAGUUGAAAAUUUGAUUGGAAAAAAGAUAAAAUGAUGAAAUCGCGAAUAAAAUCCCCCCUCUCAUUUUCGAAAAAGCUUGGAGAAAGAGUCCACUAGAACUAAGCCACAAAACAGGAAGAAGUUGAAAGCUCGCACAUGGAAGAGCCAUUUGCAAGUCACCAUUCUAUCGCCAAAUGUCCUCCUCCAUGACACAGGUCGGACCCUUAAUUUUUCACUCUUCCAGUUUGAUCGCAUGCACAUGCGGAUACCAUUCAGUGAAACCCAAUACACAUACUAACUGAAUUUGGACCGUCAUUGAUAGUAUUGGGUAUGCGACCCUUUGCGCUCUAAUACCAAUUGUUGGAUAUGGAGAAGCGUUGCGGUGAUCACACGUGAGAAUUAUAAUAGACAACAAAAAAACACACUUGAUAUGUUAGCUUGCAUUACAAAUAUAGCACUCAGAAUAAUCACUCUAACACAACUUUUACAAUAUACUCUUUCACACCAUGUACUCAAUAUACUCACACCCAAACUAGUUGAUGCAUUCACAUACACAGUUAUUCUAUCUUUCAUUCUCGAUCACGGAAUGAUAACUUGCUCACACUGAACUAUUGAGGCUGUAGUACCUCUCAGUUAGAAGUUCACCAUUGCACUUGGUGAUUUCCUGUUUUGAAACUUUCACUGUCGGAGGCUUCCCUGAAGCUCACAUACAUGUGGCUUUCCUAAAGCUCACCUUUGCACCUGGUGGCUUCCUCUCUAGCCUGAGUUUCUCCGCUUGCGUAUGGCCUGAGGCCCUCUCCCUGGCCUGAGGCUCUUUCCUUGAGUCUCUGUUCUGCUUGCAGUGGCUUGCGGCUGUUAAGCCUUUCUGAGACCUUUCAGCCUUGAGGUACUUUUGCCUUUGAGGCACUUUGGCCUGUUGACCUGAGGUUGCGGUGCCUCUAUGUGAGGCCUU